GCAAGGAUGACAUGCAGAUUUGUGAAGUGUUCCAUAUUUUU
rnacentral:snRNA from 1 species